UAUGUUUUCCGACUAAUACUCAUGAAACUCAUAAUGAAAAAUAGGUUCACAGAUAUAAGAAAAAAACGUCAAAAUCCAGGCAAAGUUGCAGCGUUUUACGGUUCUUAUACAUAAAUAAUUAACAUAAUAUUUCCUACAAAAAACAUACAGAACACUUUUCUCCAGGAUCAAUAUUUAAAACAAUAUUAAAGGGGGAAAGUAAAUCACAAACAAUUUACAAGUCCCUAAUUUUUUUUGUUUUUCGUAAAUAACUCGUAAACAGUGGCCCAAUGCAAAAAGUUCUUUAUACAUUAAUAAUAGAAAUGUAAUUUUGUACAACAAAAGUUCCGUAAAUUUUUUCGCUAGGAUCAAUAUUUAAUGAGAUAUUAAAAUUCAUUAUAAUCAGUUUCCAGGUCCUUUUUAGGGUUCCGUACCCAAAGGGUAAAACGGGACUCUAUUAAUAAGACUGCGCUGUCCGUCCGUCGGUCUGUCACCAGGCUGUAUCUCAUGAACCGUGAUAUACAGUUGAAAUUUUCACAGAUGAUGCCGCUAUAACAACAAAUACUAAAAAGUACGGAACCCUCGGUGGGCGAGUCCGACUCGCACUUGUUGGGUUUUUAGUCAGAGGGGCAAAGUUACUUACAAUUAAUCCUCAGGUCUCUUUUUUAGUUUUUCGUAAAUAAUUUUGUAAAGUAUUAUGACCAGGGGUCGUACAAAAAGUGCGGAUGACGUCAAACCACUUAUAGGAUGAUUUCAAAUAGUAUUUUUUGUCAAUCAGAUGAACAAUAAAUUGACUUCGUUAUUGUUUAGCUAUUGUAUCUUCACGAUUAUAUUUAGCUAAAAUUUAUAUUAAAUGUCAUCUUUACUCGAAUAUUGUGGCAAUUUUCCGUUUUUGGAGGUACGUGACAAACACGUAUACUGCUCUUGCUGUAAUCAAGAUAUACCAACGAAGGUAAGCAAUAUUAAAAGACAUUUGGAGACAACCAAACAUGUCGGAAACGUAGAAAAAAAAGGGCAAAGUGAAUUUAAUAUGAACCUUACAAAUUUUAUGAUAGCAGCAAACAUACCCUGGGUGCAACUACGAAAUGAAAACUUCCGUAAUUUCAUAAAAAAAAUGCAUGGAUGGUGAAUAUGCAAAAACAGUUACCAUAAUUUUUGUCGGACAAAAAUAGUCAUCUAUGCAUAAUUUCAUUAAAUAAUAAGUAUAAUAACAAAAUAUCUUUUUUUAUUUUUACUAAUCUUACCUACUGUUCCCACUUUUGACUACUAAACCCAUUUAUCUGAGGAUCCCACAGACUUGUUCUAACUAAUUUCAAAUAAUUAUACCAUAUGGUAACAAGUUUCGUGCAAUUUAUUUUAUUCACUACAUCACCCUACCACCUGUAUUAUUAAUUCCAUGGAUUUAUUUACAAUUAUUUUGUUACUUCAUUAAUACUACUUUGUUACUACAUGUCACACGGAAGUUUAAAUACAAACUCAAACAUCACCUGUGUGCAAGAUUACGUCAUUUUUACGUCAUCCGCACUUUUUGUCCGACCCCUGAUUAUGACCUAUAGCAAAAUAUAUAUAUAAACAAUUAUAAUAAAAAUUUCUACAAAAGACAUGCGGAACAUUUUUCCCUAUUUUUCGCUUUAGUAUCUUUUUAAAUAUUCAUCCUAGCGAAAAGUGUGCUACAUAUUUCUUAUAGAAAAUUUUAUGUUACUUAUUUAUGUAUGAGACAUUUUUUUGCUAUGGGUCAUACUUUAGAAAUUAUUUACGAAAACUAAAGAAAAGGAACCUUAGAAUUGGUUUUAUUAACUUUCCCGCUUUAAUAUAUUUUUAAAUAUUGAUCCUAGUGAAAAAGUGGACUGAAUUUUUCUUGUACGAAAUUUUAUUUAGAUGAUUUGCGUGAAAGAACAUUUUUUGAUAUGGGCCACCGUUUACGAGUUAUUUAAGAUAAACUAAAAAAGGGCCAUUUAAAGCUAGCAGCCGCGUCGAUGCAAUUGUCUCACGUGCGCUCCGAGCGAUAUCAUUGUCGCUGGUUACGUUUAGAAU